CGUAGUUGGAUUUCUGGCAGGAGCGACCGGUCGGCCCAUCGUGGUGUGUACUAGUGUUGCAUCUGGCCAUAUUUGUGGAGAGCGUGUGUGGCAUUAAGUUGUCGGGCAGGGGAUACCCAUCGUUUACUGUGAAAAAAUUAGAGUGUUUAAAGCAGGCUUAUGCCGUUGAAUAUAUUAGCAUGGAAUAAUAAGAUAGGACUUCGGAACUAUUUUGUUGGUUUGCGUUACGAAGUAAUGA
rnacentral:rRNA from 1 species